AGCGAACGCUGGCGGCGGGCUUAACACAUGCAAGUCGAGCGGGCACCUUUCGGGGUGUCAGCGGCGGACGGGUGAGUAACGCGUGGGAACGUGCCCUCUGGUUCGGAAUAACUCAGGGAAACUUGAGCUAAUACCGGAUACGCCCUUUUGGGGAAAGGCUUGCUGCCGGAGGAUCGGCCCGCGUCUGAUUAGCUAGUUGGUGAGGUAACGGCUCACCAAGGCGACGAUCAGUAGCUGGUCUGAGAGGAUGAUCAGCCACACUGGGACUGAGACACGGCCCAGACUCCUACGGGAGGCAGCAGUGGGGAAUAUUGGACAAUGGGCGCAAGCCUGAUCCAGCCAUGCCGCGUGAGUGAUGAAGGCCUUAGGGUUGUAAAGCUCUUUUAUCCGGGACGAUAAUGACGGUACCGGAGGAAUAAGCCCCGGCUAACUUCGUG
rnacentral:rRNA from 1 species